rnacentral:lncRNA from 1 species
UGAGCGGUUUCCAGAUGAAAUGCCCCUUGAGUAAGUUUCGUGUACAGCUUAGUAGUGUAUACAGAGUCUUAUGAUAGAUCUGGCGUAGUUUUGUAUCCAUAUUUAUAUUCGCCAGUGCUUGAGAUGCCUCGUGAAGUCUUUGCGAGGAACAAGGUUAUAUUGUACAUAUAGAUGUAAGGUUUGUGAUGUUAUAUGAAUGUGAGAACCUAUGUGAGCUUAAGAAGGAUGAGAAAAUAUUUGUUCUUAUUUAUUUUCUAAGAUGUUUUUUAGAGAAUGCUCUGCAAAUUUAACUUCAACAUGAUACUCAGAAUGAUCGAAUUUAGGUCCUGAUAUUACUCUGUAUCAAUCCCGCUAGGCCUUCAGUGUUAUUCCCUUGGAAGUGUGGUUAGUGAUACUUUGUUUAUUUUCAUAAAAUACACAAUUCAUCAACAUAUAAGCCAAUAAAGCCAUUGUAAAGUAUUAUUAGUAAAAGAACCGGAACAGAAAAUCUAAAUUCUACAUUAUUUAGCUGCAAAUGGCAACCAACCCUCAAGUGUGCCAUAUUACAGGCAUAAUCAGAGCCGUUGAUUUCUCCCCGAAAUUAAUAGUAGCCUACUAAGCAUGCAAUGCGUCAGGUUUACUGCCUAGCUCGCUGAGCUUGGAGCCAACAGACUGGCUACUGCGGGGCAGAUUGUUCCUGUGGUACCGGCACCUGAAAGAACCGGCGUGUGUGGUUGGUGAGCACAAGCAGUCGUGUUUUAUGCUUGCCGUUUUCUGUAACCCUACAGGUGUUGAUGGUGUUGAUGAUGGAUAUUGUGGGGGGUUCUCAUUCUUCAUACAUAGCUUUUGGCAAAACUAUAGUUGGUGUUGGUUUACGAGGUAUUUCUGUGAUCCUUGGUUCUUCAGCCAUUGGUAGUCCUGCCUGAAACUGCAAGAGAAAAACAUUCAACUUUAUAAUGCUAUUGCAGCAUUCUACCCCUCAUGGUAAAUCCCUUCCCCUACUAACUUUUACAUUUUAUUUUCCUCUUUAUUUUUUACCCCCUUUAUAAAUGAAAAGGUUGAUGAUAUUCAGCCAAGGUUGAGGACCUCUCAGUUAUAAAACAAACAACAGUUUCAAAAAGAAAAAGGUACAAAAUCAAAUAAGAUGCAUUUAAUUGUCAUUAAUAAUUCAUAAAGAUAUUUCUGGCUUCUUUUUUUUUAUUUUUAUUAUUAUUGUUUGUUACUAAUAUUUGACUAAUUGAUAAGCCUAAAAAUUUCAUAUGUGCUAGAAUGCCAAUAAAAAAAGAGUAUAAUAAAUGCUCAUUAUCAUGCAAACCCUUCAGUUAUAAGAGAGACUAGUUUGAAUGGCAUCAAGAGGGUUUCCAUUGAAAGAAACAGAGAAAAAAAAUAAAAAAUAAAAGAGGGAGGAUGGUUUAGACAUUUGAAAACACCAUAAAAAAGGUUUAAUUUUAUUCAUCAGAGUUUCCAAUAAACCAUUUUUUAGAAGAACAUCAUGAAUUAUUUAACAGAAGAGGAUAGUAAUAUGACGUACCAAAAGACAAUGCUAAACUAGUUAAUUGAUCAUAUAGAGGGGUCUCAAAUACUAAUAUGCACAACAUUUUCUACAUUUGAGGGAAUAAAUAUAUAAGUAUCACAUUAAUAAGAAUAGAACUUCUAUUACAGCUAUUGCUGUACAAUGUGUAAGCACCACUGCUGCUGCUACACAUUGUGCCUACACUGAUGAUCACGCUAGUGCAAGUACCAUGGCAACAAUUGGGCGAAGUGAUGAUCAUGCUAGUGCAAGUACUAUGACAACAAUUGGACUAAAGCAGCAUGGACAAAUGAAGCAUUCUCUAAGCAACUGUCUGGAGCAAGCAUGGACAUUUGUUUAAGGCACUGAUUUUACUGCAGUGUUAGUUUAUGUAGAUGGCAUCCUGGUUUUUGGUAGCAAUCAGUCCCAUAUCACUGCUUUAAAGUUGUUUCUUGAUCAGAACUUCAGUAUCAAAGAUCUUGGUAUUAUCAAAUAUUAUUUGGGCAUUGAAGUUCUGCACACUGAUGCUGGCAUGUUUUUAAAUCAAAGGAAAUAUACUCUUGAUUUAGUUCAAGAUGCAGGUCUCUUAGAAGCUAAACCUCUAUCCAUUCCUAUGGACACUAAUAAAAGACUCAAGUCUGAUGAGGGCUUAUUGCUGGAUGAUGGUUCCUUUUAUAGAAGAAUUGUAAACUCAUGUAUCUCACUAUUACAAGACCUGAUUUGAGUUUUGUAGCACAACAUUUGAGUCGGUUUGUUUCAGCUCCUAGAGAGCCUCGCUUCAAGGCUUUACUAAGAGUCAUCAGAUAUGUUAAAAGUACAGCAAGUCAAGGUCUACAAUUCUCAUUUGAUAAUCCUCUUCACUUAACUACCUACUGUGAUAGUGACUGGGGUACCUGCAAAGCCUCUUGAAGAUCCAUUACUGGCUCUUUUUUUUCUUAGGCUCUUCUCUUAUUUCUUGGCAAUCCAAGAAACAAACUGUUGUCUCUCGAUCCUCAGCUGAAGCUGAAUAUAGAUCUCUUGCCAUGACGACUUGUGAACUGCUCUGGCUCCAUGGUUUGUUGAAAAAAAUUUUUGGUUUCUGUUUCAUUACCUACACUAGUCAUGGUUGAUAAAGAGGUUGCAAUCAGUUUAGUCUCCAAUCCAGUUCAACAUGCUCGCACCAAACAUAUUGAGGUCUACUGUCACUUUGUUGGGGACAAAGUUCUCGAGGGUGUUCUUCAGCCCACUUUUAUUUCUACUACAGCUCAGUUGGCAGACAUCUUUACAAAAUCCCUUGCUCGCUAUCCUUACUGGCAGAUUAUAUCCAAGUUGGGUAUGCACAACCCGUGUGCUCCUCCAACUUGUGGGGGGAUAAUAAGAAUAGUACUUCUAUUACAGCAAUUGCUGCACAAUGUGUAAGCACCACUGCUGCUGCUACACAUUGUGCCCACACUGAUGAUCAUGCUAGUGCAAGUAUUGCGACAACAAUUGGACUAAAGCAGCAUGGACAAAUGAAGCAUUCUCUAGGCAAAUGUCUGAGGAUCACAGCCGUUCCCCAGAUUGGACGAAGUAAGUCGGUGGAUACUAAAACUCCACAUGGUGGAGUUGAGAGACACAAGAAUAACCCCACAAUCUACAGACUACAGUUGUUUAUUCUAAUUGUAGUUAACUUAUGUAAUCAUAGUAAAGUUGGUAAGUUAGGUUCACAGUUACUAAUUCAGUUUAAUAGCAACUAGUAGGUUCGUUAUUACGCAGAAUAUAAAUAGCUAUUGUAAUCUUCAUUUCCCGUAAUUUUUCUGAAUGAAUAUACUUAGGGUUUUUAGUUUGUUUAGACACAUCGAAUGCAGAUUUAUCUUCACCAAAAUUAGGAUUUAGCCUUUAGUUCUAGAAACUUACGUAUGUCAAAAUGAUCAGAUCAAGAAUUAUGAAAAUUGAAUACAGAAUUACCUGAGGAUGCUUAUAUUUUUCAGGGUUUUGCCUAUGGCGGCAACUUUCCUUUCCUUUCCUUUCCUUUUGCUUGAUGAAUAAUGGCAGGAGAUACACAGAAAGAGCAAACAAAUUAUGCCAUUAUUAAGGGGGUCUCUUUUUGAAGGAAAUUUUAUAAUAAGUCCUCCAUUUCGGGCCUCUUUUUUACGAAAG